rnacentral:rRNA from 1 species
UACGUAGGCGGAAAAUUAAGUCAGUAGUGAAAUCCUGCAGCUCAACUGUAGAACUGUUAUUGAUACUGGUUUUCUUGAAUAUAGUUGAGGUAAGCGGAAUGUGUAAUGUAGCGGUGAAAUGCUUAGAUAUUACACAGAACACCGAUUGCGAAGGCAGCUUACUAAGCUAUGAUUGACGCUGAGGUACGAAAGCGUGGGGAGCGAACAGGAUUAGAUACCCUGGUAGUCC